UACGUGGUGGAGAAAAGGAGGAGUAAAGAUGAAAGGAGUAGGAAGGUGGAAGUGGUGGUGGCAGCGGCGGUUACGGUGGUCCUGGGCAUUGGAAAUCGAGUGUCGUAUAAACUGGCGCUUGCUCCUCUGAAGCAUUACCCCUUCUUUCUUGCUCAGCUUGCUACUUUCGGGAAUCUUCCACAACCCAUAUUGGAAUAGUUUAUUCAGCUUUAGAGGAAGGAUUGUUAGAAUAAGGUUUACUGUGGAGUGCUCUGGAUGGACGCAAG